AGACCUUGUCCAGGAGAUCCACACAAACAGCAAAUGAGAUAUUUGAUCGUGUUAUUGUAAGAUAAUUUAGCUUGCCCAUUAGCCUUCAAUAUCUGCCAGGAUCUUCUAAUGGCUCUCCCUAUCCAAGAAUAAGUUUGACAUUAGGAUCCAAGGGAGUGUUUACAAGUUUGCAAUCUAUCAUACCCAUCUCUUCAAGUAUGUCCAAAACAUAUUUCCUUUGAGAA
rnacentral:misc_RNA from 1 species